rnacentral:rRNA from 1 species
CCUACGGGAGGCUGCAGUGGGGAAUAUUGGACAAUGGGGGGAACCCUGAUCCAGCCAUGCCGCGUGUGUGAAGAAGGCCCUCGGGUUGUAAAGCACUUUCAGUGAGGAAGAACGCCUGGUGGUUAAUACCCAUCAGGAAAGACAUCACUCACAGAAGAAGCACCGGCUAACCCCGUGCCAGCAGCCGCGGUAAUACGGAGGGUGCGAGCGUUAAUCGGAAUUACUGGGCGUAAAGCGCGCGUAGGUGGCUUGAUAAGCCGGUUGUGAAAGCCCCGGGCUCAACCUGGGAACGGCAUCCGGAACUGUCAAGCUAGAGUGCAGGAGAGGAAGGUAGAAUUCCCGGUGUAGCGGUGAAAUGCGUAGAGAUCGGGAGGAAUACCAGUGGCGAAGGCGGCCUUCUGGACUGACACUGACACUGAGGUGCGAAAGCGUGGGUAGCAAACAGGAUUAGAUACCCUAGUAGUC